rnacentral:lncRNA from 1 species
UACCUUCUGAGUGAGGAGCAGAGCAGGCGCUGGCGUCUACAGGUGAGGCGGUAUUCUGUGACCUCACAGCUUUGGAUGGCAAAGCAAUUGCUCAGCAUGAUGUGAAGAAUCAGUCCAAAAAGCUGCCACAAACCCUCUUGAUGAGAGAUUAAAAAAAAAACACACCUUUUUUUUUUAAACAAAAGAAAUCCCAGUAAUAUGAGGGAUAUGGAUGUUAGUAAUUACCACACAUUGAAAGUAUUGUUUAGCGUGAAAAGUAAAACUUUCAAAAAAUUUCCUUGAUUCUAUUUAAUAAAUAAUUUGAAGGAACCACUUAUGCAAAACUUGAUUACUGAAAACGCCACAUGCUGUGGAUAAUUAAAAACAAAAAGGAAUUACUCACAGGAGAUACUCAAAUUAGUUUAUUAUAAUUCUUCAAACAAGUAAAAAAACUCCUCCCCGUUUUUUUUUUGUUUUGUUUUGUUUUUUGUUUUUGCUGCUCUUUAUGUAGGGGAAAAGCAUCCUUUCUGGAGAAGGAGAAGCUGGCUCCAAUGAAGAGAUGGUCUACUGCCUGUUUUCCAAAGGUACACCCACAGCAAGGCUGGGUGCUUUCUCCUCUCUUGGGAUUAUUAGAGGCUAUUCUAAGGCUCUCACAGGUUUUAAAAGAUUCUUUUGCUAAUGAGGAUUUUACCCAUCUUAUCUGUAUUUCUUUGAAAAAAGAUCUUUCCUUAGUGAGGCAGAUUUCACUCCUCAGAGUCCUUGACCAAGAACGAUAUUCUCCAGAGGUAAUCUUGGAAGGAAGAGAGGCGCAGGCCGGGUUUCAGAGCGGCCUAGCGGGGGCUUACACAGUGACCAUAGGGUCAACUCCUCGCCUCUCUCCUGGCCCACCGAUGGUUGCUUCCUAGGGGCUCUCCAGCGACAGUUCACUGUGGAAGUGUCUUCAAAGGAGAAAAGUGAGCAGACUGUCAUCUUUGCUCAUAUAAGGGCAACUCCAAAUAGUGAGUUCAGAACCUUGCUUUGGGGACCCAAGGUGUCUUUGGAAAGCUCCUGUCACCUGAGCUGCCCGGCACCGGGAUAUAUAGCUACACCUCACAGCGUCUUGCGAGGUAGGUUGUCCGGUGCCAUCCUAC